UAGGGAAUCUUCGGCAAUGGGCGAAAGUCUGACCGAGCAACGCCGCGUGAGUGAAGAAGGUUUUCGGAUCGUAAAACUCUGUUGUUAGAGAAGAACAAGGAUGUUAGUAACUGAACGUCCCCUGACGGUAUCUAACCAGAAAGCCACGGCUAACUACGUGCCAGCAGCCGCGGUAAUACGUAGGUGGCAAGCGUUGUCCGGAUUUAUUGGGCGUAAAGCGAGCGCAGGCGGUUUCUUAAGUCAGAUGUGAAAGCCCGCGGCUCAACCGGGGAGAGUCAUUGGAAACUGGGAGACUUGGGUGCAGAAGGGGAGGGUGGAAUUCCAUGUGUGGCGGUGAAAUGCGUAGAUAUCUGGAGGAACACCGGUGGCCAAGGCGGCUCUCUGGUCUGUAACCGACGAUGAGGCUCGAAAGCGUGGGGAGCAAACAGGA
rnacentral:rRNA from 1 species